rnacentral:rRNA from 1 species
AGACGGGACCCGCACAAGCGGUGGAUUAUGUGGAUUAAUUCGAUGCAACGCGAAAACCUUACCUACCCUUGACAUGCUAGGAACUUGCAGAGAUGGCUUGGUGCCGAAAGGGAACCUAGACACAGGUGCUGCAUGGCUGUCGUCAGCUCGUGUCGUGAGAUGUUGGGUUAAGUCCCGCAACGAGCGCAACCCUUGUCAUUAAUUGCCAUCAUUCAGUUGGGCACUUUAAUGAGACUGCCGGUGACAAACCGGAGGAAGGUGGGGAUGACGUCAAGUCCUCAUGGCCUUUAUGACCAGGGCUACACACGUACUACAAUGGCCGGUACAAAGGGCAGCGACACAGCGAUGUGAAGCCAAUCCCGAAAAGCCGGUCUCAGUCCGGAUUGGAGUCUGCAACUCGACUCCAUGAAGUUGGAAUCGCUAGUAAUCGCGGAUCAGCACGCCGCGGUGAAUACGUUCCCGGGCCUU